AUGCAGGGUGGGGAGGGCCAAGGGCAGCUGCAAGGCUCCUACCUGUGCCGGGGGGCCUGGGCUGAGCCCAGCAGGGACCUUGCCAGGGGAAGCUCUGGAGAAGGAGGAGAUGUGUAUAAGAGACAGGUCCUACAGUCCUCAGGGCUCUACUCCCUCAGCAGCGUGGUGACCGUGCCCUCCAGCAGCUUGGGCACCCAGACCUACGUCUGCAACGUCGUUCAUGAGCCCAGCAACACCAGGGUGGACAAGAGAGUUGAGUUCACACCCUCAUGCGAUGACCCAAUUCCCCCAUGCCUACCGUGCCCAGCACCUGAACUCCUGGGGGGACCGUCUGUCUUCCUCUUCCCCCCAAAACCCAAGGACACCCUCAUGAUCUCCCGGACCCCUGAGGUCACAUGCGUGGUGGUAGACGUGAGCCAGGAAGACCCCGAGGUCCAGUUCAACUGGUACGUGGACGGCGUGGAGGUGCAUCAUGCCCAGACGAAGCCGCGGGAGAGGCAGUUCAACAGCACGUACCGCGUGGUCAGCGUCCUCACCGUCACGCACCACGACUGGCUGAACGGCAAGGAGUACACGUGCAAGGUCUCCAACAAAGGCCUCCCAGCCCCCAUCCAGAAAACCAUCUCCAAAGCCAAAGGGCAGCCCCGAGAGCCGCAGGUGUACACCCUGCCCCCGUCCCGGGAGGAGCUGACCAAGAACCAGGUCAGCCUGACCUGCCUGGUCACAGGCUUCUACCCCAGCGACAUUGCCGUGGAGUGGGAGAGCAGCGGGCAGCCGGAGAACACCUACAAGACCACCCCGCCCGUGCUGGACUCCGACGGCUCCUACUUCGUGAAGUGGAUCUUCUCCUCGGUGGUGGACCUGAAGCAGACCAUCGUCCCUGACUACAGGAACAUGAUCGGGCAGGGACCCUAG